GGUCCUGCCUGCCCAGUGACAUAAGUUAAACGGCCGCGGUAUCUUGACCGUGCGAAGGUAGCAUAAUCAUUUGUCUCCUAAAUAGAGACUGGUAUGAAUGGCAAGACGGAACUCAACUGUCUCCUUUUCUUCAAUCUUAAUUUCACUUCCCCGUGAAGAGGCGGGGAAAUAUUCGUUAGACGAGAAGACCCUAUCGAGCUUAAGUAAAACUUUAAUUCCUUAAACACUUUUACUUUUUUCUAAUUUCUCCAAUUAAAACAAGUAAAAGCAAGGCAGUUAAACUAAACUUUGGUUGGGGCAACCACGGAGAAAUACAAUCCUCCGUUUACAAUACAUAAAACAAAGGCACAACAAGCCUAAUAUUGACUAAUCAAGUAAACUGAUCCAUUACGAUGAUCAAAGGAAAAAGUUACCGUAGGGAUAACAGCGUUAUCUUUUCUGAGAGUUCAUAUUGACGAAAAGGUUUGCGACCUCGAUGUUGGAUCGGGACAUCCUAGGGGUGCAGAAGCUUCUAAGGGUUGGUCUGUUCGACCAUUAAAGUCCU
rnacentral:rRNA from 1 species